UGCCAGCAGCCGCGGUAAUACCGGCAGCUCAAGUGGUCGUCGCUUUUAUUGGGCCUAAAACGUCCGUAGCCUGUUUGGUAAAUCUGUGGGUAAAUCAAUCCGCUCAACGGAUUGAAUUCUGCAGAGACUGCCAGACUAGGGACCGGGAGAGGUGUGGGGUACUCGAGGGGUAGGGGUAAAAUCCUGUCAUCCUUUGAGGACCACCAGUUGCGAAGGCGCCACACUGGAACGGAUCCGACGGUCAGGGACGAAGCCUAGGGGCACGAACCGGAUUAGAUA
rnacentral:rRNA from 1 species